rnacentral:rRNA from 1 species
GUUGGCGAUCAAAACGGAAAGGAAACACCUGUUCCCAUUCGAACACAGAAGUUAAGCUUUCCAGUGAUCUGGCGUGUACUGCCUUAGGGCGGGAAAACCAGGACAUUGCCAACA